CGGGGCGGGGGCACUGUGGGACUCCUACGGGAGGCAGCAGUAGGGAAUCUUCCACAAUGGACGCAAGUCUGAUGGAGCAACGCCGCGUGAGUGAAGAAGGCUUUCGGGUCGUAAAACUCUGUUGUUAGAGAAGAACGUCUGGCAGAGUAACUGUUCAGCAGUGACGGUACCACCAGAUAGCCUGAUCUUUACUGGCACG
rnacentral:rRNA from 2 species